rnacentral:lncRNA from 1 species
AGUAGCCAGGUAAAUGGCUAAUUUUUUGCAAUUUCCAUAUUUUUCUGGGUCAUGUUUUCUCCAAAAUUCUUGGCAGAUGCAGUUUUAUACAUUUGCAAGGAAAUGUCUUCCUGCAAGUCUAUUAUCUCUAUUUGGAAUAAAGGCUUUGAAAGGUGAAACAACUUUGCAGCCUCAUCUGUCCAUUUUCCCGCUGGAGAAACUUCAAAAGGCGAUUUUAAGAAUUGCGACUACUUCUCUAUCUCUGCAAAUCUUGGAAUCUUGCUGCAAAUUCCUUCUUAAGAUCUGAUAUAAAAUUUGAAAAUACUGCACUGCCU